AAAAAAAAAAAAGACGAAUGAGAAUGUUCCAUAGUAUACUAGUAUUUUCCCCUUCUGCUACAAGACACUGAAUUACCUGGUGAUCUUGAGUCUUUUUCAUCGCACGUUGGGCUUGGCGAUGCCUAAGUUGGGGUUCAGCUUGAAUGCACGCAAGUAAGGAUCCAAGGGUAGACCCAUGGCAGCAUACCUUGGAUCAUAUGGCUCAAAUGGAGGACUUGAACUCUGAAUAUGGGAAAAUAGUGCCAUGAUACUCUCUUCACAUUUUUGCCCGUUCAAGACGAGCUUUCAUGACUUCUUCCAUUUCUCCACAAGUUAAUUUUCUACUUCCAUAGGGUCCUAUACUCUCUCGUUAAUGACAUGCUUUUCCUAGCUCCCUUUUGUGCUUAUAAUUGCUUGUAAAUUCUAUGUGUGGAUCUCCUACUUGUUGGCUUUGUUCCCAAUCCUUAACCAUAGCAAAAUUCUUGCUCUUUUCCAACAAUUUUCAUAAAGGC
rnacentral:misc_RNA from 1 species